GCAAUGGCCGCCUCCACAAUGGCUCUCUCCUCCCCAUCCUUCGCCGGUCAGGCGGUCAAGCUCUCCCCCUCCACCCCCAGCCUCUCGGCGGCCGCGUCUCCAUGCGCAAGGCCGCCACCAAGUCCGUCUCCUCCGGCAGCCCCUGGUACGGCCCCGACCGCGUCAAGUACCUCGGCCCCUUCUCCGGCGAGGCCCCCCAGCUACCUCACCGGCGAGUUCCCCCGGCGACUACGGCUGGGACACCGCCGGCCUCUCCGCCGACCCCGAGACCUUCGCCAAGAACCGCGAGCUCGAGGUGAUCCACUGCCGGUGGGCCAUGCUCGGCGCCCUCGGCUGCGUCUUCCCCGAGCUCCUCGCCCGCAACGGCGUCAAGUUCGGCGAGGCCGUGUGGUUCAAGGCCGGCUCUCAGAUCUUCAGCGAGGGCGGCUUGGACUACCUCGGCAACCCCAGCUUGGUCCACGCCCAGAGCAUCUUGGCCAUCUGGGCCUCGCAGGUGUGCUCAUGGGCGCCGUCGAGGGCUACCGCAUCGCCGGCGGCCCCCUCGGGGAGAUCACCGACCCCAUCUACCCCGGCGGGAGCUUCGACCCCUUGGGGCUGGCCGAUGACCCCGAGGCCUUCGCCGAGCUCAAGGUGAAGGAGAUAAGAAGGGAGACUUGCAUGUUCUCGAUGUUCGGAUUCUUCGUUCAGGCCAUCGUCACCGGAAAGGGGCCGUUGGAGAACCUCGCCGACCACCUUGCCGACCCGGUCAACAACAAUGCAUGGGCCUUCGCCACCAACUUUGUGCCCGGAAAGUGAGGGGUGGAUAUGAUGAUGAGUUUUUGUGGUGUAAAUGUGUUGAGCUAAUGGGAAUUAUCUAAUUUUUUGUUUUGCAUUAGCUUUGUUAAUGAUGUGGUUCGUGGUGACGGAUCUUAUGUUGUUUGUAUAAUCUGCUAUCACCAGAUUUUAUGUGAAUUGUGAUGUUCCUUAAUUUCGGAAAUGGUGUUAAUUUGUUGUUAUGGUUUGUUUUUUUUUAUUGUAACAACUAAUAAUUUUAAAGUAGUAGGUGGUUAAUGAUAUAGAUAUGCUAAUAACUUCAAAAAAAUGAUAUAGAUAUGCUUGCAUUAAAAAAAAAUUGACCAUAUUGUAUAGUUUGAUGAAUGUACAAAAUUAAAAAGAAAAAUGAUAAUUAAUAAAAUUUAAAAUUAGUGUUGGGGGAAGGGGAGGGGGCGGUGGGCCGGUGGCGGCGGCAGAGGGUGCGCGCGGGUAGGGGGAGGGGAAUUAGGGUUUGGGUGGGGAGGUUUGAGGAAGAUGAUGAUGUGAGUUUUUUUUUUCUUUUAUUAAUUUUUUUUACGUGUCAUAAAUGUGUCAUCGUGUCAAUUUCGGUUGUUACUGUGUUAUUGUCGUCGUUGGCGUAAGAAAAAAUUGGUUAUUGGAAAAUUUGAGACAAAAAAAAAUGUUAGUAUUUAAAAGUAGAUUUUUUAAAUUAGUAGCAAAAUCAAUUUCAAGAAAACAUUAUGAUUUACGGCAAUUAACUUAAAAAUUUACUAAUUUUUUUACAAUUAAUUAAUUCUAAAAUAAAAUAAAAUAAAAGAGAGUCGCAUGGCGCGAGACAUAAAUCGGCCCUUGAUAAAGGCGCGAUAACAUUGACUCCCCCAUAUUAUUUUCUAAUUUUUAAUUUUUUUUUAGUUCAAUUAUUUUUUAAUUUUUUCAGCAACUAGCGAUUUAGCAAUAAUGGAAAACCUAAUUGCAUCAAUUGAUCCAAGUAUAAUUUGUUUCUGUACCUUCCAAAUCAACACUAGAGCUCAGAAAUUCAGAAUGCCAAAAUCAUUUUCUGCCCACACUCAAUUUUUCACCUCUCUCAAACACCUCGAGAAAAGGCUCAAACUUGAAAACAAUCAAUCAGCAGCACCCUCCACACUUCCCCAACCACCGCCGCCGCCGCCGCCGCCGAUAGAACCCCCAGAAGUCAUCACCAGCACGCAACAAACAGAUUCUAUCGGCACCCCUAUUUACCUCUGCAACCAAUCCGCCGCCACAAACGCCUCUUCCGACAUCCAAGAAAGCGAAGAAGCCCCACAAGAAUUUCUCUCGACACCACCCCUUAAUUCCCCACCGACCAAUCACGACGAAGCCGAAGAAAGAGGUGAUCGACCGGAAAGACCAAAUCUUGGCGACGAUAUCGAGCUCUUGAUGCAGCUCCUGCGCUUAUCAGAUGCUGAAAACGCCACAACCAAUGAGGUAGGGGGUGAUGAUGAGUUCUACGACAGGAUUGUGGGGGUGAAGGGGCCGAAGAAUAUGAAGGAAUUGGAGAGAUUAGAGCGAUGGAUUAAGCAUUUCUCCAACGAGGAGCCGUUUAGAUUGGCGCAUUUGCUGUUGGGCAAAGCUGCUUUCGUGCAUUCCGAUGAUGGUUUUGGAGGGCUUGCGUUUCCCUCUACUAUCGAUGAGUUCUUGCAGAAUGAGCCACCCAGCCCCAUUGAUUAGCAUUGUUUGCAAAUUUUCCCUUUUCUAUGUGUUUUGGAAGCAUGAGCUUCAUUUUUUGGUGUUGUUGUUUGACUAGUUAUUGAGAAAUUAAAUAGUGAAUGGAAAAGGGAAACCAUGAUUCUUGAGCUUUCAAUGAUAGAGGUGUGGGCAGAAUAAUUCUGAUUUGCCUAAUACUAAUAUUCUUUGCAAUCAUAAACAUGAGGAUUCAU
rnacentral:lncRNA from 1 species